UACGUAGGGGGCUAGCGUUGUCCGGAAUCAUUGGGCGUAAAGCGCGUGUAGGCGGUCCGGUAAGUCCGCUGUGAAAGUCGGGGGCUCAACCCUCGGAUGCCGGUGGAUACUGUCGGGCUAGAGUCCGGAAGAGGCGAGUGGAAUUCCUGGUGUAGCGGUGAAAUGCGCAGAUAUCAGGAGGAACACCAAUGGCGAAGGCAGCUCGCUGGGACGGUACUGACGCUGAGGCGCGAAAGCGUGGGGAGCAAACAGG
rnacentral:rRNA from 1 species